rnacentral:rRNA from 1 species
UACGGAGGGUGCAAGCGUUUGUCCGGAAUCACUGGGCGUAAAGGGCGCGUAGGCGGCUCAUGAAGGCUGUGGUGAAAGUCCGGGGCUCAACCUCGGAUCGGCCGUGGCGACUCGUGGGCUGGAGCACUGUAGAGGCGGGUGGAAUUCCGGGUGUAGCGGUGGAAUGGCGUAGAGAUCCGGAAGAACACCAGUGGCGAAGGCGGCCCGCUGGGCAGUGGCUGACGCUGAGGCGCGACAGCGUGGGGAGCAA